rnacentral:lncRNA from 1 species
CACAGAGAUCAGAGGGAGAAGGACAAAGAGAUACAAGGAGAGUGACAGGAAAGAAGAAAAAAUGACUGAGAAACUCAUAAUGCAAAGUGGGUAAUGGGUUUUGAAAAUAACAGGGUGAGCCAAAGAGAAAGGGACAAAUGAUUUAGCAGAGAGACUGACAGUCUGGCCCUUCCAGGGACUCCCAAGCACAACCAAACACAGAGCUUCAAAGGAAAGAAGAGCAGGAAGUUGGUGGGUUUCAGGUGCUUGGAAAAGAAGUAGGCUGACAUCUGACUCAUCCUAUUCAACUGCAAGCACCCAACACACACAGAAGCUUUCAGAUGAGAUCACCUGGUCGUGACUUGCAAAAGACUCUGAUUUGGUGGCAUAUGGGGCUAGGCACUUUAUCAACAUUUUUCCUUACUCUUCCCAGCACAGCAAAAGGUAGGUGACAAGCAGGAAGCCAUGGGGAAAAGGCACUCAUAGAACAGUGACUUGUACCAUGCUGUUCUUCAGCAUCUUCUGCGGGCUGUGCGUGCAGGGUGAUGAU